GGGAAGAUACCGAAGUGGAAAACGGGGCGGUCUGUAAAACCGUUAGCUAUGCUUUCGCGGGUUCGAAUCCCACUCUUCCCA
rnacentral:tRNA from 1 species